CUGAAUACUUUAAUGAAUUUUAAAGGUAGAGCUUUAAUUAAAACAGGUCUUUGUGGACAGAAAGCAUGCUAUUUUGUGAGCUUGGUAAUUAUUGCCUUUUAAACUAGUGAGUUCAGUUACCAGAAAUACUACUACAUAUAAACAGUUGGUUUUUUUCAUCCUGUGCUGUGGAAACAUAACUAGAUAUUGAAGAGAGGCUGGCUGCAUUUCAAAGCCUGGCAUUUGGCUCUGCAAAUAAUAGCGACUUAAAUGUACAGGACAUCUUUCUCCUCUGGAGCACAAAGAACUUUCCAGGCAUGAUCUCAUCCUGUCUUCAGACAUUCCCCUCUGAGGCUGGACUGAGGAAGACAGUGUUCAUGAUGGCAGCAUUGCCAGGCCUUUCUGACUCCCCCGAGACCCCUAUUGCACCCCCACCCCACCCUGUACAUUACAGAGAAGAUGGAGACCACCCAAAGGAACAGGACAAUUUCUUCUCCCUUUCUCCUUACCCAGCUGAUUUAUGGUAAUGACUUAGGGAUUUGCAUUCCUAAAUGAAAAUCAAAGAAUGGAGGACUUGACCUUGGAGGAUGUUGCAGAGACCCCUAGCACUCACCAAUAUGCAUGUUCUACUCUUCUUAGGCAUUUAGUUCAACUGUCGCUCCUAGGCUCCCCUGCAAUAAGGUGUGGCCAUGUGACUAUUCCACACAAAACAAAUGUAAGUGAUGUGAACUUUGUCCAGUUAGCCCAGAACAGCUCCAGGUAAUCCUCAAUCCCUUUCCCAUAUCUCAAUCAGAUUGAUGGAGAGAACUCUAAGCAUUGGGCUUCCCAGGUGGCUCAGUGGUAAAGAAUCCACCUGCAAUAUGGGAGACACAAGUUCGAUCCCUCAGUUGGGAAGAUCUCCUGCAGAAGGAAAUGGCAACCUACUCCGCUAUUCUUGACUGGAAAAUCCCCUGGACAGAGGAGCCUGGCCGGCUACAGUCCGUGAGGUCACAAAGAGUCGGACAUGACUUCGUGGCUAAAACAACAAACAACAGCUCUGAGUAUGAGAGGAGCCUGGAUCCAGGAUGACAAUGAGAGAGCUGCCUGACCAGGAACACUUGCACUGGGUUAUGACAUGGAUGGCAAACAACACUUUUUUUGUUUUGCUACUGAAUUUUGAGUUACAGAGGCUAGCUUUACUGACCUUAACUAAUAUACAGGAAAGCAAUAAUUUCUGGAUAUCCAAAAUACAGAUGGAAAGGAAGGAUGUAUAAUAAGCCAAGAAAAGCAGAAUCAUUGAUGAGGAGGAAUCUGAUAUACAGUGAAUGAAUUACCUCCUUUCUCCAUGUCCAUAUAUCCUUUUAUUUCUCUCAUCUCCCUCCUGCAAAGGAAUCAGCAACUGUGAUCAAGAUCAUUUCCUUCCCAUAUAGAGCUGAUUAAAAACAGUAAACACCAAUGGAUGAACGUGCAAACCCAUUGAUCAACCUCAGCAUCUCACCAAUUGGUGGAAUAUACUAGAUGGAGAUUGUUUGAGGAGGAGUCUAAUUUGUGGAGGUCACUGCUGAGCAGAGAGAGGUCUUCCUUUCCCACCACCAGUCCUCAUGGGUCUCUGGAGAUCAGCUUGUCUUCCUAAUCCUUUCAGUGGUGACUCUGACCCAUGAGAGUCAGCACAAGCAGAAUCAUCCCAUUGAGGGGAGGGAGUUAGGCAUGUUCAAUACCAGAAACCCUCAUGGAGCCAGGGCUUUGGGUGGGAAUGCAAAGAAUCUUCUAUAUUUUUAAUAGGUGACACAGGGGCUCGUUGUAACUUUUACCCACUGUGGAGACCUUUCUUUUAGACAUGGAGGAGGUUUUUAGUAGAUUGUAUAGUUGGAGACAUGGAGGCCUCAGUGGGGCGGGUGGACAUGACCUGUUCAACACCUCCUGGCUGGUCAGUACCAGCAAGAGAACUAGAUUAAGGCUGACUGCUCCAGAUCCUUUCAAAGCAAGCUUGGGUUUAAUCAUUUUAUAAAAAUGAGAAGUAAUUUUAAUGUAAUAAAUCUUUUAUAGUAUGGUAGGCUUGGAGGCAUAUCUCCUCCCCAACCCAGGGUAAGUUAUGGAAAUAUAACAGGGUGAGUCAUCUCUUUGUGUAUAUAUCUUUAUUUGAAAGUAUCAGAAUAUUAUAAAUGAAGUGUUUUUCUGAAAUAUUAACUUGGAGAUUUGCUGAAAAUUGUGCAGUUUUUGCCUCUGCUGUGUUAUGUUAAAAAAAAUGUUCCUUGUUGAGUGACUAAUAGCUGUGUAUCUGUUUAUCAUUAUUCAGUCAUUAAACAUUUACAGAGCACUGUUGGAGAGUUGGAUUAUGUGUUGUUUGGAGGGUUGUGUGGAUAUGUGGGCCAAAGACAUGCCUUGCUCU
ensembl:lincRNA